UACGGGGGGAGCAAGCGUUGUUCGGAUUUACUGGGCGUAAAGGGCGCGUAGGCGGCCAGUGCAAGUCAGUUGUGAAAUCUCCGAGCUUAACUCGGAAAGGUCAACUGAUACUGCUCGGCUAGAGUGCGGAAGGGGCAACUGGAAUUCUUGGUGUAGCGGUGAAAUGCGUAGAUAUCAAGAGGAACACCUGCGGCGAAGGCGGGUCUCUGGACAGUUCCUGACGCUGAGGCACGAAGGUCAGGGGAGCAAACGGG
rnacentral:rRNA from 1 species